rnacentral:rRNA from 1 species
GACGAACGCUGGCGGCGUGCUUAACACAUGCCAGUCGAACGGAAAGGCCCUGCUUUUGUGGGGUGCUCGAGUGGCGAACGGGUGAGUAACACGUGAGUAACCUGCCCUUGACUUUGGGAUAACUUCAGGAAACUGGGGCUAAUACCGGAUAGGAGCUCCUGCUGCAUGGUGGGGGUUGGAAAGUUUCGGCGGUUGGGGAUGGACUCGCGGCUUAUCAGUUUGUUGGUGGGGUAGUGGCUUACCAAGGCUUUGACGGGUAGCCGGCCUGAGAGGGUGACCGGCCAAAUUGGGACUGAGAUACGGCCCAGACUCCUACGGGAGGCAGCAGUGGGGAAUAUUGCACAAUGGGCGGAAGCCUGAUGCAGCAACGCCGCGUGCGGGAUGACGGCCUUCGGGUUGUAAACCGCUUUCGCCUGUGACGAAGCGUGAGUGACGGUAAUGGGUAAAGAAGCACCGGCUAACUACGU